ensembl:snoRNA Small nucleolar RNA SNORD65
UUAUGAUGAAAACAAACCUGAGUAGCUGGAAUUACCGGCAGAUUGUUAAGUGGUGACACUCAGUUUAUCUGAUA